GAUAGAGCAUUGCAAUUAUUGCUCUUCAACGAGGAAUCCCUAGUAAGCGCAAGUCAUCAGCUUGCGUUGAUUACGUCCCUGCCCUUUGUACACACCGCCCGUCGCUACUACCGAUUGAAUGGCUCAGUGAGACCUUCGGACUGGCCCAGAGAGGUGGGCAACUGCCACUCAGGGCCGGAAAGUUGUUCAAACUCGGUCAUUUAGAGGAAGUAAAAGUCGUAACAAGGUCUCCGUUGGUGAACCAGCGGAGGGAUCAUUACCGAGUUAUCGCUCCAAACCCAUUGUGAACCUUACCUACUGUUCUGUUGCCUCGGCGGGGGGACCUGCGGGAACCGCCCUAGCGGGCGCCCCUGGCCACCCUCCGCCGGCAGCACCAAACUCCUGAAUUUAUAGCGGACAAACGUUUCUGAAUGAUAAAAAAAAUGAGUUAAAGCUUUCAACAACGGAUCUCUUGGUUCUGGCAUCGAUGAAGAACGCAGCGAAAUGCGAUAAGUAAUGUGAAUUGCAGAAUUCAGUGAACCAUCGAAUCUUUGAACCCACAUUGCGCCCGGCAGUAAUCUGCCGGGCAUGCCUGUCCGAGCGUCAUUUCAACCCUCGAGCCUAGUCUUCUCGGCUCGGCGUUGGGGCGCUACGGGUCAUUUUACAUGCCCCGUAGGCCCCGAAAUACAGUGGCGGUCCCGCCGCGGCGCCCCCUGCGUAGUAGUGUCUUUACAGAACUCGCAUUGGGUCCCGGCGGAGGCUUGCCAGUCAAACCACACUAUCACAAGAUGGUUUGACCUCGGAUCAGGUAGGGUUACCCGCUGAACUUAAGC
rnacentral:rRNA from 1 species